rnacentral:sRNA from 1 species
GGAAAAGCUUUCUGGAAAGACGAUGUGGCAGUACAGUGCUGGUGUGUUUGGGAACUGAGAAGCCUUGGGUAUGGCAGGAGACCAGCAAAACUGUUUCCAGUAAAUGAUGGAAGAUGAAUCCAAGUUUUUUUAUAGGCUUGCUUCUGAUCCUGCUCCUGCAGGUGACGGCAGGUAUCCUAGGAGCUGUUUUCAAAUCUGAGUCUGAUCGCAUUGUGAAUGAAACUCUCUAUGAAAACACAAAGCUUUUGAGCGCCACAGGGGAAAGUGAACAACAAUUCCAGGAAGGCAUAAUUGCACUUCAAAAAGAGUUUAAAUGCUGCGGUUUGGUCAAUGGAGCUGCUGAUUGGGGAAAUAAUUUUCAAAAAUAUCCUGAAUUAUGUGACUGUCUAGAUAAGCAGAGACCAUGCCAAAGCUAUAAUGGAAAAGAAGUUUACAAAGAGCCCUGUAUUCCUUUCAUAAAAGACUUCUUGGCAAAAAAUUUGAUUAUAGUUAUUGGAAUAGCAUUUGGACUGGCGGUUAUUGAGAUACUGGGUUUGGUGUUUUCUAUGGUCCUGUAUUGCCAGAUCGGGAACAAAUGAAUCUGUGGAUGCAUCAAGCUAUCGUCAGUCAAACCCCUUUAAAAUGUUGCUUUGGCUUUGUAAAUUUAAAUAUGUAAGUGCUAUAUAAGUCAGGAGCAGCUGUCUUUUUAAAAUGUCUCAGCUAGCUAGACCACAGAUAUCUUCUAGACAUAUUGAACAUAGUUAAGAUUUGAAGGAUAUA